rnacentral:rRNA from 1 species
GAUGAACGCUAGCGACAGGCUUAACACAUGCAAGUCGAGGGGUAACAUGAGAGUAGCUUGCUACUCUUGACGACGACCGGCGGAUGGGUGAGUAACGCGUAUGCAACUUGCCUCUUAGAGGGGGAUAACCCGGAGAAAUUCGGACUAGUACCGCAUACUCUUGAAUAUUCGCAUGGAUUUUCAAGGAAAGAUUUAUUGCUAAGAGAUAGGCAUGCGUUCCAUUAGUUAGUUGGUGAGGUAACGGCUCACCAAGGCAGCGAUGGAUAGGGGAGCUGAGAGGCUGAUCCCCCACAUUGGGACUGAGACACGGCCCAA